UUUCUUCUUCCUUCACCCUACAAAAAAAACUUUUCAUUAUUGAGAUGCUGAGAGGCCUCUUCCACCUUGGACGAUUCUUUCAUUACUCCUCCAAAGCAAAAGAUUUAAAAUCGGAACCCUAAACUUGUUUCCAUGCUAAACCCUACGAAUUAUGAGGCAAAUGUUCCUUUAUGCCUACAUUGGGCGAAUCCAUCUCGCUAGCAUUGAAAAUUUCGGAUGAAUUCGAUUCUUUUAUUUUAACUCCGGAGCGAAUAUACCAUCGGUCAUCUCAAGACGGAUGAUCUUAAUCUCGUGAGAAACAUUUUCGAUGCUGUUGUUAAAGUUUGUCUGUAAUUUGCGGCUUCGUCGUGAUGACUUCUUUUUAUUUUUGUUUCCGUUUAGGUUUAUCUUGACCUUUUUAAAUAAACCUUGAUGAUUGGUCACUAAUUGUAGAGCUUUAAGACUUAUCGUCAACUCCGUAGCUAAAUUGGUCAGUCAUUCACGUAAACUAACUGAAUAUUCUUCCCCUUUGCCCGGAUAUCAGCACAUUGAUUGUUGUCAGAUCUUUGGCAGCAAAAAAGGUAAAAACCUCAUCGUUUGUAAGAUCUUGUAUAUUUUGAAGUUUUUAUUUUAAAACAUUUUACCAUUAUGGCUCUUGGCACUCCCAAGUUGUAGGUAAGUUGUAUUAAUUCAAGAAAAGUCACGUUCUAGAGUUCA
rnacentral:lncRNA from 1 species